UGUAUUUUAGUAUAAGAAGUACUAAGGUUUUUGAAGCCUUUAGCGAGGGUUUAACUCCCUCAAAUGCAU
rnacentral:tRNA from 1 species